GUAUACACCUACCUGUUGGCAUUGUACUUAUGGCCAUUUCAGGAGUUACAGCACACGUAGCCGAAGGACUGGAGGACUGUCACUAUCAUCCGAUAUUGAAGCAGUACAUACCGGCUGCACAGGAAGUGAGACUAAAGAACGUACACGUUUUAUUCGCCGUAAUGUGAAUGGCAGCAGAAUUACUUUCCAAUUCAACAUGACGCAUGGACGACUGACCAUGAAGUGCCCCAACGGCACAUCGCAAAGUACCAUUUGCUGCAAGUUUGAGUGCACUGACAAAGGUUACAAUACCGCCUGCUCCAUGUAUGCGCAAGGAUCAUACGCCUGGUACCAAGCAAGUGUCUCUGACUCACAAAAUACCACCCAAGGUUUCAAGAUCUAUUUCUUUUUAGUCAGCUACAAUGCGAAAAAUUACCCCGCUGAAAUAAGCGUGAAUAUUCCAAGACCACACGUUUCAAGUAGCGUUGCCCUCGUCAUGAGAAAUUACGUGACGAAAGUAAGAACUUAUCCUCAGCCUCAAUAUUUUACCAAUUUUACGAUUUACAACAGCACCCUAGGAAGCCUGUGGGAGACGUUCAUUAAAAAGGUCACGACAAGACUGGAAACUUAUCUCAUUGAAUGCAUUGAGAAAUUUUAUAAGGAAAGAAUAACGUUUCUACUAUACGACUAGAGACACAAGCUUCGUUAGAAGCAGACCAUUAGCAUGGAAGAGAAACUUCAUACUGAACUAUGACUAAUUGUUAUUAAAAUCAUCAAACUGCGA